CACUUUUCUAGCAUGCAGAUCCCGCCAAACUAUCAACCGCCGGCUCCGCCAAAACCAAACAACGCCGGACUACUGGCCCUCUACACACAUAUUGAAAUGGUACACUACUGGCAUCAUUUCAAGAUGGAAUGGAUUUGGAACCUGCUGUUGAGACAAGAUUCGGUGUGAGAUGGGCCUUGGGCCAUUUGAAACCUCAGCCACAUCUUCCCCGGUCAUUAUUGUUAGGUUAAGCAUUCUCUCUGUCACACACACACACACAAAGACUGUGUGUCGCUUAACCCACGUGCAAAACCCGCAGAGGGCAAGGUUCCAGCCGGAGCAGCUGCGCACCCAGGAAAAAAGCUUUUAAAAAGACUCGCUACCCCGGGGUUGGUGUCCGCGAGUCCCUGGCACGAAGGACCGGGCUGUCAGCAACCAGGGUACAGUUUCCAUAGACAUCGGGCAGCUUUAACAGCCACUUGCUGCCGUCUUGGACCUGCGCACCCAGGAAAAAGCCUUUAAAAAGACUCGCUACCCCGGUGUUGGUGUCCGCAAGGCCCUGGCAAGAAGAACCGGGCUGUCAGCAACCAGGGUACAGUUUCCAUAGACAGCGGGCAGCUUUAACAGCCACUUGCUGCCGUCUUGGACCUGUCCUGUGGCCAGUGACCCCUGACCCACGUGACCCUGUGUCUCCGUUUUUCGAGGCUGUUCCCCAGACUACAGCCCGCUUGGGUCCUCGUUGAAGAACCAUGUGGUCACCAUAGUUGCAAUCAGUCCAAUCUUCAUAACCGCUGACGUCGAGACAGUCCGGAUUUCUCCUCACAUGAAAAGUUUCUCCCCAAGUUUCUAAAGACUCAAAGUGCUACUCGUAGUUCCUUUUUCUUUAAAUUCAGAACUUCUGAAUAUUUCAAUUAAUUCAAGUUCCAACACAGAGAAAAUAGUAAAGAAUCUGA